rnacentral:lncRNA from 1 species
AGGGACUCCUGAAGAUAUUGAUUUCACAAUUAACCCUCAGAGAAGGAGUCUCUUUACCGCCUCUUUCCUGGAGACUAGACUUAUUGUUGAUUGCAUCACUUACAGAAAUCCUGUCAAAGUGAGGAAGGCUCCUUCCAUCCCCCAGAACUGGAACAGUAUGCUUGUCUAAAUGGAAGGUGUGAUUGAUGACCUCCUGACUCGCCACAGGAGGUCCUGGUAAGGAACAAGGAAAUAAUAAGCCUCCACCAACCAGAAGAGUUCGGGAAAGGUCAAAAGGAGACACCACCUGUCUGACCACCUCCCAGAAUCCUUCUCUCUGGCAUCCAUCUUGGCUGAACAAGGCGUGCACCACCAGGAAGGACUCUGAGUCAGAAUGAUUGGCUCUGGACAACCCGGAAACUAAUCCCAUCACCAUAAAACCCAAGACUGCAAGCCGUGUGACAGAGCAGUUCUCCUGGGUUCCCUUACCCUACUGCUCUCCACCCGGGUGCCCUUUCCCAAU